GCUUGCAGGGAUAUGUGCGUUGGCUGGAGGGGAUGUCUGGAGGAGCUGGGAAGCAACCAGAUGACUGACAGCGAUUCAGGCGAGACUCGACAUGGAGGGGACAGGCGAACAGACCUGCUUCUUCCUUUGUGUUGCCAGUCAGGUCCUCCCUCUGCAGUCUUACACAGGAAGAAGAUUUAUAACAGCUGCAUGCAAUGCCAGUGUCUCAAAGAGACAGUAUCACGCCAUGUGGAGGAUUUUCAUAUGGGGUUUAACUUUGCUCCACUGAAUUGGAAAGUUGUAUGUAGAUUUCUCUAACGGAAUAGAGAGCUUUCACUCCAGAUGGAAUAAUCAGGUACAUGUGACUCUGGAGGGGACUGAAUCAACCAAAAGAGAAAUGGCCUAAAUGCUUGCUUUAACGAAAAAACGGAGUUAACCACAAAAGCAGAGUUUUUGAGAGCACUUUAAUGGUUGCCUAGCAAAAGCCUGUACGACUUGAGAAAAGGGUAAAGGCCUUAAAAAGCCUGUCUGAAGGAGGUGAUGAAACAGAGGAGAGACAUGAACGAUGGCACAGUGGAAAGAGAUGCAACAGGCUCAUAAAGAUGAAAACCAGUAUCUGCCAAAGGGAAAUAUUUGAGGUCCAGCAUCCCAACCAUUAAUUCCAGGAAACACGACCCACCGAACAACCCAAAGUACUUUCAGGAAGAACAUGUGGAACUGCUCCAGGAAUAGCUUAAAUCCACUCAGCAAGUGGAUGAAGAGGAGAAGGCUGAUAAAAACACGAUUGAUCUACAAGGUGCACUGUAUCAGUUCAUGCUUCAUAUGAGUGGAAGUCAUUGUAUGCCUGGGACCUCGAGUUUUUUAACACAGAAACUUAAAACUUCAGACCUGAAAAUUUUCUUAAGAAGAGUACCAACAUGAAUCUUCAGCAUGCAGAUGAUAAAUCCCGCCUUCAAGGGAGCCAUAAGAAAACAUAGUUAUGUAAAUAAAUGUUUCAAAGGCCAGUGAAAUAUUAGGCAGACUGAACAACCUUUUUUUAAACAGUGUUUCAGUCACACAUGUCUUGACUUCACUGGCAAAUAUCUUGCUGUGUAAAGUUUCAUUACCAAACUCAUUUCUAUAAUCCAUUUAUUGGUCUGGAUUUUUUUUCUCUGUAGGUUUAUUUACUGUAUACAAACAGAUGAUGUAAGGCUUGCCUUAGGGAACUGAACUAACAUCAUUACUCUGCAAUUUAUACUUUUUAUUUUGUUUUUUUUAUUAAAACUGCCACUUAAAAGGACCAGUUCUGAACCCCUUCAUUAUUAAAGAGCUCCUCAUGUGCUCCAAGAUAUGAAGUACUGAUCCUGCAAAACCAUAAACAUGUCAUAAACAUGCUUAAUUUUAUACACUUUGAGUGACUCCAUUCAAUUCACAAUGUAAUAGGGCUCACAAGUUGCAAUUCAGCAGAGUACUCAGAAAUAUGCCUAAAGCCACAUUUGUUCGGUAAAACCUUUCUGUGGGUGGAUUUUCAGUAAUAUACUCAAGCAUAUAUUUAAUUUUAAGCACAUGCUUAAAGUGCUUUAUUGAGUUGGGGCCACCAUGUCUUGAAUGAAGCAUGUCAAUAAGCCUAUGUAGUAUGGUCUAUUACUUCAUAUGAAAGGCAGUCAAAUAUGUAUUUCGAAAUAUAUACAAUGCAGAAGUUAAAUCAGUAGCGUAAAACUUUAUUUUGUAAGAUACUCAAAAUCAUUACUGAUUAAAAACAGUGUGCUCCAGGGCAUAUACCCCUUUCUUGGUUAAGAUCUUACAGGAAUGCACUACAUCUUCAGUGGGAAGAGAGAUAGUUAAGAAACAGAUCUCAUAUUAUAUACUGAUAAUUUAGGUAUAAUCUGUUUUGGCAAUAUUUUCUCAAUUAAUUAUUUAAAGAUACAGUAUGUCCUCACAGAAUCAUAGAAGUUAUAAGGUUGGAAAAUACCUCUAAGAUCAUCGAGUCCAACUGUUAACCCAGGACCGCUGUGUCCACCAUGAAACCAUAUCCCCAAGCAUGAUAUCCAUACACAUUUUGAACACUUCCACCACUUCCCUGGGCAGCCUGUUUCAGUGCCUGACCACCCUUUCAGUGCAGAUAUUUUUUCCUAAGAUCUAAUAAAAAUCUCUCCUGGUGCAACUCAAGAACAUUUCCUCUCAUCCUGUCACUUGUUACUUGGGAGAAGAGACUGAUGCCCACCUUGACACAACCUCCUGUCAUGUAGUCAAAUAGAAGGAUAAGUUCCAUGGCCCUAACUUUUCUCCUGUUCUAAUAAAUAUGGCAUUUCACAACAGUAUUGAAACAACCUUUUGUAGUCACUUAGAAUAUUUUGUUUUCUCUUUAAAUCUUAACGAAUAGUAAAAUACAACGGCAAUUGCAUCCUCCCAGGUACUCUCCUGUCACCUAGAAGGGGACAAGGUUAGACUAUUGCAUAUACAACUGCAUAAAGUGGUUACAAUCUUGUCUUCAAGAGUCCCUCUUUCUCCUGACCACAGUAGAGAAGCUCCAGCAUCUGCCUCAGGAAAGGCAGCCCCGUUCACUGUGUAAUCACAUGGAUAAAAAAGAACAUUGCAGAACAGAAGGGCUUCUAUAUACAGUGCCAAAAGAUAUCAACUCCUCCUGGAAAAAAAACUCUGCUGAUUGACUAAGACAAAUUAAGAAUGAAAGGAAAAUAAGCUUGAAGGAACAGUAUUAGAAAAAUAGUACUAGAAAAACAAUAGUGUUAGAAAAGACCUCUGCACCAGUCUCAAAAUUAUAUAUCUUGCAACCUUUGUAUGAAGAUUUAAUAACAGUAAUUUCAGAUGAGCUGCAUAGUUUACUUUAUCACUUUUCCACAAGAGAUUUACAGGUCACCCCAAACCUAUGUCAAGAAACCUUUCUACUACAGUGUCAUGCAGUCUUUAUUAAUAUUGCAGACUGUUCUGAAAGUUUCAGCCAGAAAGAUAUGGACUGAGAUGAGGGAAUUAUGAAGGAAAAAAAAGGCACAAAAUUGAUUAUUAAAUGUUCAAAAGACUAAUAAGUGGACAGAGUUGAAAAUAGGCAAUGCUGUGUCAUUCACAUGACAAGAAGGUGAAGAAUAUGAAAAACAAGCACAAAGAGAGAUUCUUAAUGCCUUACAAACUAGCAAUAUCAUUAAAAUAAGAUAAAAUAGAGAAAGGUUUUCUACAGUUUAGCUGUCAAGAAACAUCCCUUACUGCUAAGACCUAUUAAUAUCUUUUCCUGGAGAAGUGGCAGAAGCCCUAGCACCAAUUUAAUACUAACUGGAGAAAAACGGAGAACACUCUGCAGAAGAGCAGCGCUCCCCACGGUGGUGUGCUGAAUGAUGAAAGAGGUAUUCGCCUGACACCCAGUGCUACAGCAUUAAUGAAUCUUCAUUUUCUGAGUCUUUCCCCUUAAAAAUGACAAUAUGCAAGCUCUAUAAAACAUUACAGGCUCUCUUGACUGCUCUAAACUAUACUGAUGUGCAGGCAGAUGUUUUUCACCUGAUCCAGAUAUUUUUUCCUACAUUUUUUCUCCUUCUGCAGCCCUGCUUUUCCUUGCAGGGUGGUGAAUGGGAGCCAGGAGUACACUUGUGAGAGAGCAGCUGUUUUGAACUGGAGCAGGCACACCUCUGCCAGGGUAAUACAAAGAGCAGUUAGAGAGCCACUGACAGUUCAAAGUGUCUUGCUUUCAUUAUGCUGCACCUGCCAUCAACCUCCUUACAUCUGUUAAAUUCCCUUCAGAGGAAUGUUGUUUUUAUGAGGAAAAAUGAAUAGCUCCCUUUUACUAGAUGAAAACCUGUAGAUGCAUGAAGUUAAGACAAUUAUUAAUAUUAAACUAACAUCUACCAUUUAAUAGCAGCUUCUCUUGAGACUAAAACAGUGACAUGAAACACUAUUGUUGCAGAAGGAGAGACUUGCUGCUUACUAUAAAGCAAUGCUCUGCUUACGUGUGUGGAGCCACAUGUGACAAACUGUGGCAGCUUUCAUAGGUUUAACGAGUCUCUUCGGAGUUCCUCUCUCUCUGGUUAGUCAUAGGCAAAGCAAGGAAAAAGCUGCAUGCAAAUACAUACCUCAUGUGAGUAGCUGCACACCAAACAGCAGGAAGCAUAAUGAGCAGAGAUGGGUUUUCCUGUGAUCUCUUUUCAUUGCUUCAUAUACGACUUGGAAAAAAAAAAAAAAAGCAGGCCAGGAAACAAAGAAUAAUCUGAGUCUUUUUGGUUAUACCCAAAACCCAGAGUGCAAGGUGUGAUAUGCAGUGACGGGCUUCAAACUCUCCUUUUUAUCACUGGUCACUAUGGCAGACCUUGAUGAUCAAGACAGUAUCUACAUUUAAUAUCAUACUGAUGGAAGCCUAUUCAACCUAAGGCGACUGAAGGCCCACACUAAGACCUUAAAUCAUCUUG